rnacentral:rRNA from 1 species
GCGGUAGCACAGAGAGCUUGCUCUCGGGUGACGAGCGGCGGACGGGUGAGUAAUGUCUGGGAAACUGCCUGAUGGAGGGGGAUAACUACUGGAAACGGUAGCUAAUACCGCAUAAUGUCGCAAGACCAAAGUGGGGGACCUUCGGGCCUCAUGCCAUCAGAUGUGCCCAGAUGGGAUUAGCUAGUAGGUGGGGUAACGGCUCACCUAGGCGACGAUCCCUAGCUGGUCUGAGAGGAUGACCAGCCACACUGGAACUGAGACACGGUCCAGACUCCUACGGGAGGCAGCAGUGGGGAAUAUUGCACAAUGGGCGCAAGCCUGAUGCAGCCAUGCCGCGUGUGUGAAGAAGGCCUUCGGGUUGUAAAGCACUUUCAGCGGGGAGGAAGGCGGUGAGGUUAAUAACCUCAUCGAUUGACGUUACCCGCAGAAGAAGCACCGGCUAACUCCGUGCCAGCAGCCGCGGUAAUACGGAGGGUGCAAGCGUUAAUCGGAAUUACUGGGCGUAAAGCGCACGCAGGCGGUCUGUCAAGUCGGAUGUGAAAUCCCCGGGCUCAACCUGGGAACUGCAUUCGAAACUGGCAGGCCAGAGUCUUGUAGAGGGGGGUAGAAUUCCAGGUGUAGCGGUGAAAUGCGUAGAGAUCUGGAGGAAUACCGGUGGCGAAGGCG